GUGCUUGCUUUGGCAGCACAAAUACUGAAAUUGGAACGAUACAGGGAAGAUUAGCAAGGCCCCUGAGCAAGGAUGACACGCAAAGUCGUGAAGUGCUCCAUAUUUUU